GAGCGUUUCAAAAUACACGAAACGACGUGCGUGCAAUAGCGAGAUACGCAGGAGCUACAAAUAGAAGCACUAAAACUGCAGGGCAGGCUUCUCUGAAGCGGCAGCUCGUUCCCUUCAGGAAACGCGCAGUGGCACCGCAGGCCCUCGCCCAGCUGCCCUCGCCGAGCCGCGCAGCGCUGCGGGCGGAUGGAGCCGGCAGCCCGGCACCCGCUGCGCAACCGCGGGAACAUCGCGUACCGAGGGAGGCACGGCCGUCCAGAUGGCCUCCAGCCUGAACAGCCUCAGGCAACGGGGAUUCAAUUUCAUCGCGCCGCCAGGUUAAAACCAGCGGAGCCCCUCGUUUAGUUAAACCCAACAAGCUCCGCACAAAGCGUCACGAGGGCAGACGCCGCGUCACGCUGACACGGCCCCAAAAACCCCUCCGGGAGCGGGGGGCCGCCGCUUCCCGGCCGCCUCCGUUCUGCGUGCGGCCACGGCUCACCGCCGAACCCCCGAGCGCGGCGGAGCUCGGUCGCCGUCCCGCCUGGGUAAAGCCGGCUCCAGCGGCAGAAGCGGCGCAGCCCGGCAGCCGCCCCACGGCCCCACGCUCCCGCCGCCCCGUCGCGCUCGCUCGCCCCCACCCCGACGCCGCGGCCCCGCCGGGUCCCUCCGACUCACAGCCUUCCGCCGCGGCUUCCGCUGGCUGCUCCCGGCGGACGGGCGGCCGCGCUCUAUAUGCGCUGAGGUGCGGCCCCCGGCCCGGGGAACUCCGAGGGAGCGUCAGGGCCGGGAAGCCGCUGGAAAGCCCCGGCGGCGCGCAGCGCAUGCGCCGCACGGCGACAGGGCGGGGCGUCCGUCCGUCCCGUGCCGGCCGUGGCGGCGGCUCGCGGCCUCCGGGCUCCGUCCCCCCGAGCCUCGUGCGCUUCCUCCUUCGCCCCCCGAGCUGCCCGGACCCCCUCAGAGCCGCCGCGUCCCCGCUGCCCGUUUGCUGAGCGAGGAGCGGUGCCGCACGGCGCUGGGCGGGACGCCGGGUGCUUUCCUGGCGCGUUGCCAAGUUACGGGCUGCUGUGGGAGAGGCCGAGUGGUGACCGCCUGCGCUUCGGUCGCUGAAAGUCACGGGGGAACAACGGGAGGAAGGCAAAACCGAGUGCGAAUUUCCACCAGCGUGUGUCAGCGCGUACAGAAAGCUGAAGAACUUCCGCAGCGGGUGCUGCCAGAUCGUGAUCCCCGAGGUGUCACCUUAAGGAGGCUCCUGGCAUUCAGAAGACAACACUGUUGCUGGAAAAAUGGAGAUAACUCCAGAAGUGCCGUAUCUGAAGGAGGAUCAGGUGUGGGAUUUCACAUCUGUUGGACACAGGGAAUUCAGUAUCACAUAAGGAACUGAGCUCUGUGUGUGCAUGUGUGUAUGGUUUAAAUUCUGCUUUCGUGGAGCAAGAUGGGGAUGCUCCCAGUUUCCAUACUUCAAGCAGGCAUUCCCAAAUGAAGUUAUACUGAAUCCGUUUCUAUCCAUUCCAGGAGGCUUCUUGACGUUCUCCCAAAGCGAAAUAAUUCAGUGUUCCUCCUUAAUUCCAUACUGCAGCUUCCUGCCUGUGCCAUCCCAGCCACAUCCCUGCCCUUUGCUCCUCCAUACCCUUUGGCCUCCUCCGGAUCCUGCAAUAGAAACUGCCAUUUCCUCCCCUCCCAGGCCUUCAGGCAAGCAGUUUCAGGCUCUGUCUUUCUGCUAGGCAAGCAUCAUGUUGCAAUAAGGAAGGAGAGAGGGGGAGAAAUAGAAAAGCAGGCUAAAGCACAUAUAAUAGCAGAAAUAGUGUAGCUGGCCUGAGCUGCCAGCCCUCUUUUGCUUGCUCUGACUCUUGAGAAUAGUAGCAGCUACCCUAGUUCUCCUUUCCCAGCAUUUCCUUUGCAAUUACAAGGAAAAGAGACGAGGGAGCUUUUCCUGCCUUCUUAGUGAUGGAUGGUCCUUUCUUCAAAGGAUAUGAGAUAACUAAAGGUUUAUUUUUAGAACUAAAAUUCGUGAGGUGUGAUGCAUUAUCAGCAGCAUCCUGAGUCUAGCUUCAGCAUCAGGCAAGGGAACUCCAAAGGCAGGGAGAGAAGCACAGCAAUGCUUCAAAUGGAUACAAGCUGACAGCAGUAGGCUUGAACUUUGCUUCUGAGCCUGUGGCACUGCAUGAUGGGGCUGUCCCUUCCACCUGCAGCCUCAGACUUCAAAGAUCACAAUUGGAC
ensembl:lncRNA